CGGUUCUGGAACUGCAGAUAACGAGGAAGCGUUAAUUAGAUGGUUCGGCGCGAGGAAAGAAGGAUGCAAGGAGGCAAGAUUCAACUUGACACAGCAAAGUGGAAAGUUCCUCAAAGGUUAGUUGCUAUUCCUCUAUUGUACGUCGUAGAUGCCUUUUCAUGGAUUUCACGGCUGCUUCCCAGAGGCCGCCGAAGUGCGGAGAAUACGGUGGUUUUGAAGCUCCAUUCCGUUCCGUCUGUAGCCAAUAACUCCGCUGUUUCCUUAUAGAAUUUCGCUGCAGCGUUGAACAUGCGUUUCAGAAGCUGAUCGGCACCUCUGAACGUCGUGGCGUUGUCGCUCAGCAGUCGUUGGCAUUUUUCACGUCGUGCUACGAAACGUUUGAAAGCGGCGAUGAAGGAAGCUGAGGACAAAUCAGAAACAACAUCUAAAUGAACGGCUUUAGAACAGAGACAGACAAACACAACGAUGUAUCCCUUCGUGGAACGCUGAUCCCUCGCUCUCGACAUGAGCAUCUGAAUAGGGCCAGCAUAAUCAACCCCGCUGAUUGAGAAUGCCCUAGCUGGUUGUACUCGCUGAGCAGGAUUUUGUCUCGCGGAAUCCAAUGGUGAAGCCUAAGGUUCGCCUGAGUCAGGUUCACUCCGCCAUGAAGAGUCCGCAGAUGAGCUGACCCUAUCAACAAUGACGCCAAGGGUGAUCGUCGAUCGAUAAUGACAGGGUGACGCUGAUCGAAUGACACCAAGCCUCGUUGAUCUCGUCAGCGGUCAAGAACCCAUGUCGCCGGUUGUUGACGGAACGAGCGUUAUGAGCGAAGCGUCGCAUAUACGCGGUUACCCUGACCAACUUCAACGCUGAGAGGAACCGGAGCGGAUCCCAAGGCGAUUCGAAGACGGCUAGCAGACUGGGAUGAUCGUUAGGUUGCGUGUUCCUGGUCGUCGUCGUCACGGUCACUCUGCGUUCCGGUGCCUCGUUCUCGUCGACCUCGGGUGUGCCAGGCCAGUCUUCCUGAGACCUCGAUAGCCAAGAGGGUCUCGUCCACCAGAGUGCAUCGUUGGCCAAUGCGUGCGCGGACACUCCACGCGUGGCAAGGUCCGCCGGAUUCUCGUGUGUCCGCGUGUGUCGCCACUCAAUGUCUGGCAGCAGGCGCUGAAUCUCGGCGACCCGAUGCGCCACAAAGGGUUUCCACCUGGAAGCAUGAGACUUUACCCAGGCUAGGACGACAGAUGCAUCGGUCUACGCAUGCAUCGUCGCACUAUGAGGUCACAACGAUUCCCCUACUGCUCUCAGCAAUCGGGUCAGGAGUAGAGCACCGCACAGCUCCAGUCGGGGGAUACUCUGCGGCUUCGUUAGAGCAACUUUUGUUUUUUCCAUCAGCAGGUGAGUUUUGGCCAUCGCACCAGCGACUGGCACCCUUAUGAAAACAAUUGCCGAAUACGCUCUUUCGGAAGUGUCGCUGAACCCAUGUAAUUCCAAGUGACCGCUAGAUGCCCCACGGUAGCCGAUCCAUCUCGAAACGGUGAUUCGAUCGGUCCUUCCGAUCUCGACUCGAAGCUGCUUCCAUCGUUCGGCAAACAGCUCAGACAGUGGCUCAUCCCAGAACAUCCCAGACAACCAAAGAUCCUGCAACAAGAUCUUCGCCGCGACAGUAAUUGGAGACAACCAGCCUAAUGGAUCAAAGAGACUGGCCAUCUCGGACAGGACCAAUCGUUUGGUCCAUCGUUGUUCCGGUGCUGCAGGCGGGAGCUUCGGAGAUGCAAGAGACAGCGUAUCGUUUGCUGUACUCUAUUUAAGGCCCAAAGUUCCGGUUUCCUGGUGACCCUGCAACAAAUUAACAAAACCGGGACUCGAAGGCGAGUAGUUUGUUGCCCACUUGUCCAGCGGAAAACCGCCCGCCGUCAGGAUGUCCAUGAGUUGACGUCGAGCCUCCUCUGCGUCCUCGAUGUCCUCUCCUCCGGCCAGAAUAUCAUCGACGUAGGAAUUGUUUCGGAGUAUCGCUGCACCCCGCGGAUAUCGAGCCUCCUCAUCGACAGCAAGCUGGAGCAGGACUCUGGUGGCGAGACGAUCCUUUGCCAGUCUCUAUCCUCCGGGUGCACCUUGAUCUGGUGGAACAUUUUGACAAUGUCCGUAGAGAACGCCUGUCGAUGGAAACGCCACCUCGUUAUUAUGGCCCAGAGGUCAGGUUGAAGCUUCGGUCCAGCAGCCAGAUCCAUCCUCGCGCCACACGGUGUGAUGCGGGAGGUAAUUCCUCCCCUCCCCCUCGACAGACGAGUACUUCGAGACUGCCUCCAUAUGUCUCAGCCGCUCGUACUCCUCCAGAAAUUCAGCGUAUUUCUGUCGGAGCAUAUCGUCCUUCUCUCGUCGUCUCUCUGAAGAAACGAGCAGGCGAACGGCAAUAGUCCGCGAGACCCCGACAUCGGCGCCCGGAGUGGUGGUGAACGGCAACCGGACAACGUAUCGACCUUCCUGAUCCCUGUGUACCUCUGCCAAUCGUCGCGAGAGUCUCGUGCCGGCUGAACGAGUAGGGAUCGCACGCGACGUUCAUCUCCUUCGUUAACCGGGGAUGUCGUUGAACCCAUCGGAGCCCAGCCGAAGGGCGUUCUCACGAUCGGCGGAGUACCCUUUGGUCCGACCCGAUUUUCAAGGAGGAGAUGCCCACACGCUUCUGCCCCUAGAAGCAGUUCCACCCUAUUUGGAGAGCGAAACUCUUCGUCGGCCAACGGAAGUCCAUGAAGGUGAGUCCACUUUUCGUCAUCAAUUUCUACCGCAGGAGUUGGAGCAGUUAUUUUUUGAGUCACCAAAGCGUUUAACGGGAGUUAAAAAUCAGAGUCGCGACUAGACGUGAGUAACACGGAUACUUUGUGACGUACCGUUCCCACGUUUAUUUUCUGGUACCCCGUUAAAUGCACUUCUACGUUCCGACGCGGUAGACGUAGCGCUUGUACAAUGUCAUCGGUGACGAAUGACAUUUCGGAACCGGGGUCGAGUAGCGAGGGCGCGAAAACACUGCGCCCACACGGUGAUUUUAAUUGAACGCGCGCGGUGGUCAGGAAAACGACUCGGUUCAUGCGAAACGUAUUCACGGAAGACGUGCUUGGCUUCGCGUUAGCUUCACCUUUCGGGAACGCUUCGUGAAGUGACGUGUGGUGAAGACCGCCGCACACCAUACAGCGGUACGAAGACGGGCACUCCGCGGCAGUAUGAUUCUCCGAAAAACACGAUAUGCACAGUUUCGCGCGAAAAACAAAGUUCUUUCGUUCCUGGGGAUUAAAGUUUCAAAAUUGUCCGCAAUGUGCUAAGAGGUGACCUUCCGAAUACAGGGAACACUUUCGGUUAGGUUUUCCCUUCGGAGGGUUUUUUUUGUCACCUGAACCGUCAUAGCUGCUCUCUUCUCGGUUCUUCGCGACUCCUCUCGCUUAGGGAUCGUCGGCGCGGUUUCCGGCUCUUCAUUCGCGGCCAGAGCAUGGAUUCGAGACUCGAAAAAGUCUCGAAUUUGUUCGAAUGACGGCAUAACCGUCGGAUCAGGGAGUGUUUUUUCCCAGUCUAGGCUAGUGAUCGAAUCUAACUUCCGAACAAUUAAAACGACGAACCAAUCAUUCCAAGUAUCGACGGGUUUAUUUAACGCGGCCAGAGAAUCUCGAGCUUGGCAGAAUUUGUUAAGGACGCGGAUCAACUCCUCCUUUGUAGCGCGUUUUAUCGCUGGGCAGUCCACAAGUCUCCCAAUAUGAGCCUUUGUUAACACCCGAAUCCCUCCGUAACGACGCUCGAGAGCCGCCCACGCGGUCGCGUAAUUCGCAUCGGUCAACGAGGUUCUAGCAAUCACCUUCGCAGCCUCACCGGUGAGAUUCGCUUUCAAAUAUUGCAGGCGUUGAACGUCCCGCAAUUGUUUCGAGUUGUGGAUCGUGGCGCGACGCGAAUCUCAAAAUUCCUCCCAUCGUAGGAGAUCGCCCAAAAACUUUUCGAUUGAAAGAAUCGGUAAACUAGGACCCUUAUUGCACUCGCGGUGAUCGGCUUCCAACGAAUUCGCGACAAUGGAUGGUUUUACAUCUUCCAACCUUUUCUCCAAAUCGGUUGAAUUUUGAAUGUACGCCUCUUCGAUUUCGUCAAAGAGACGCGUUUUUUGAUAGUCGCUGGUGCUAAAUUCGGCCGUCGCGGACAAUGCACGAUGAUUUGCGACGAAUUCCUUCCAAUAAUUGUCCAACAAGAUAAUUCGCUUCCGAAUAGCGGUCGCGGUCAGUUUCGCGGACCCUAAUUUAAGGUUUUUUAUAUCUUCUUGGUUGAAUGCAUGAGGAGGAAUUACAACACAGCAGCGCCCUAAUCUGUCUUGUGGAACACAAUUCUUCAGAUCACAAUCGAAUAAAUAUCCUUCUGCGCAAUUUUGACUAAGUACUUUUGUUCCUGUCGGUCCACACAUAUAAUACUUGCUACAAUCAUAAUCGUGAGGCAAUAAUUCAUCUGGUACACAAUGACCUCUCCAACAUUUGGUGCGCGACGUAAUAUCGCACACCUUCCUCUCGUAAUCGUAAUAGUAUCCCUGUUCACACCUUCUAAGGUAUUAUCGAACUCCAUUCGUUGCGCAUUCGUAAUACUCGGUACAAUGGCACUCGUGAGGUACACGUAGUCCUGGAUAACACAUCAGGUUGGGUUUUGGAGUUGUAGUGGUUGUUGCAGUGCUGAUGGUAGUCGAAAGUACACCAGCGGCCAGUGCCAAGAUGGCGACGAUCGGUAAGUUCAUUUCUGAAACAAAAAUAACAUUAACCGAUUAGAUUUUCCACCCCUGCUGUGACAGGAUUUAUCCUAUUGCGAUUAAAAAAAAAAUAUAAAGUGACUUUUCGCAUAAUGAUAAUCAAGACGUUACUUGUAUAUGAUAUCAAACCAGAAAAAUUAAGGGGUUAGUCGCAGUCAGGAAAAUGAAAACGGCCACUUUCUUGUGUGUGUGUUUUUUAAGGUAUUAAAUAAUAAUUUUUAUGAAUGAAAUGUAAAUAUAUUACAAAGUAUAUCUUAAAGAACUAUAAAACAAUUUUUGUUUUACAAAAAGGUUAAUUCAUUUCGUCAUAACAGGCGAUGGCGUGGGUGGCCACUCUGGUUUGCGGUGAGCAAGAUUUCUUCAAUCUGGUGCACCUGAAAACGAAACUAAAGGUAGAUUUAGAAAAUAUAUUAGACUAACGAGUCCCUGAUCGAAGGAUUCUUUAUUUUCUUAUAUACUUUUCUUUUUAUUCUCUAUUUAAUCACUUAAUUUUAUAAUGAAAAUUGAACUUCAACUUCAAAAUAGCAUAUUCCAGUAAUUCCUAAACUGUGAGCCGCCGCGUCUUCACAGGGGAGCGAUGAUAUAUUGUAAAUAUGUAAAAUGUAAUACGUAAAAAUGUAAGAGAAAGAAAAAUAAAUA